rnacentral:rRNA from 1 species
CCUACGGGGGGCAGCAGUGAGGAAUAUUGGUCAAUGGACGAGAGUCUGAACCAGCCAAGUAGCGUGAAGGAUGACUGCCCUAUGGGUUGUAAACUUCUUUUAUAUGGGAAUAAAAUGUUCCACGUGUGGGAGUUUGUAUGUACCAUAUGAAUAAGGAUCGGCUAACUCCGUGCCAGCAGCCGCGGUAAUACGGAGGAUCCGAGCGUUAUCCGGAUUUAUUGGGUUUAAAGGGAGCGUAGGUGGAUUGUUAAGUCAGUUGUGAAAGUUUGCGGCUCAACCGUAAAAUUGCAGUUGAAACUGGCAGUCUUGAGUACAGUAGAGGUAGGCGGAAUGCGUGGUGUAGCGGUGAAAUGCUUAGAUAUCACGAAGAACUCCGAUUGCGAAGGCAGCUCACUGGACUGCAACUGACACUGAGGCUCGAAAGUGUGGGUAUCAAACAGGAUUAGAUACCCUAGUAGUC